rnacentral:lncRNA from 1 species
GCUGGGAGGUGUAGUCCCUCAGGGAAGCGGUCGCGAUUCUUCGGGGUGGGGUCCCCGAGCUUGGGGGGUUCCAGGCUUUGGGGCAGGCUUCGGGGCAGUUACCUGGCUGGGAGGUGGCGGAAGAACCUGACUUCCCACUGCCUGGCGCCGGCGAGAUGCGGGGGCAGGUCUGAGGCCCCGGGUCGCCGCUGUCUCUGCGGUUGGGGGAAGUCACCCAGCUAGCGUGGGACAGGGUCGGCACCCCCAGCAGGAAACAGCAGCGACGAGCCAGAGCGGAGUCGCCUGCAGCUGCGCGCAGGACGUGCACAGAAGCGCAGCCAAGCAACAACAACAACAAAAAAAGGCGAGGAGGUAGACCCACUUGAGAUGGUUCUGUUGCGGAGAGUCUCUGAAAUCAGAAAGCGCCAGUCCGCAAAAACGAGGAAACCCGACGUGUCCGGCGGAAGGAACCGCCAGUACAAAGGCCCUGAGGCGAGAAAGAGAUUGGUCACUGAAAGAACUCAAAGAAGUCCUGUGUGGCUGGAGUAUAGCUGCGGGUUAGUGCUGGCAGGUGAAGACAGAGAAGCAAACCCAGGUCAGGUCCGGUUGGGCCUCGGGAGGGCCUCCGUGUGGAGUCUGCACUUCAUUCUAAGUGUAUACCUAACCCAUCGCCACGAUUUCCCCUCCUUCACACUACCCUGCUACGUCUCCUUAUUAGGCGUAAUAAAAUUAUGUGGCUUUGUAAGAAAUUGGUUUUUAGAGAUGCAUGUUAAAGUAUUGGGUAUGAAAUGUCAUGAUUUGUCUAAUUUACUUUAAAAUACUUCUGCCAUAAUAAAUGA